GGAUUAGAUACCCUGGUAGUCCAUGCUGUAAACGAUGAGUGCUAAGUUUUUGGGUUUGAUGCCUGAGAGCUACAGCUAACGCGUAAGCACUCCGCCUGGGAAGUACGAUCGCAAGAUUAAAACUCAAACGGAAUUGACGGGGACCCGCACAAGCGGUGGAACAUGCUGUUUAAUUCGAUACUAACCGAAAAACCUUACCAUUUUUUGCAUAUUACUUGUAAGCUCGGUGCAGAAAUGACGAGUGUGAGCAAUCUAGGUAAUACAGGUGGUGCAUGGCUGUCGUCAGCUCGUGCCG
rnacentral:rRNA from 1 species